ACCAAGCCUACCAAAGGUGAAACGUACGUCGAGAGACGUCCUUAGUGACGUCACCGCAGCAACGCCCAAUCCGGAAGCGGGCGGCCGCGUUCCUCACUGUCAGCGGGUGCACGUCUGGGGGAUUUCGGGACUACACUGGCCGCACACCUUGCGGUCGCGCCACCUAAGAAGUCACUUCCACACCUGGCAUUCUCGGAUCUUCUGUCAGCUACAACAUCUGUCUGUGAGUCACCAGUUAGUUCCGGCCACCAGAAACUGUUUCGGGGAUUCUCAUUUGAGACCAGGAUAUACAGUAGCUGUUCUGCUGCAGAUUACAUUGGGUUUAAACCAAAUAAUUUAUUUUUAACAUCUGUAUUAUAUUAAAGCAAUGAUUUAACUUUA